GAUGAACGCUGGCGGCGUGCCUCAAACAUGCAAGUCGAGCGGGGCUAUGUAAUAUCGCAAGGUAGAACAUAGCCUAGCGGCGAACGGGUGAGUAACACGUGGGUAACCUGCCUGGAAGACAGGGAUAACGAUUCGAAAGGGUCGCUAAUACCUGAUAAUAUCCUUUCAUCGCAUGGUGAUAGGAAGAAAGGGGAAACCCGCUUUCAGAUGGGCCCGCGUCCCAUCAGCUAGUUGGUAAGGUAAAGGCUUACCAAGGCGACGACGGGUAGCCGGUCUGAGAGGAUGUACGGCCACACUGGGACUGAGAUACGGCCCAGACUCCUACGGGAGGCAGCAGUUGGGAAUCUUAGGCAAUGGACGAAAGUCUGACCUAGCGACGCCGCGUGAGGGAAGAAGGCCUUCGGUUGUAAACCUCUGUCAUGGGGAGAAGUAAGUGACGGUACCCAACGAGGAAGCCCCUGCUAACUACGUG
rnacentral:rRNA from 1 species